rnacentral:rRNA from 1 species
CCUACGGGGGGCUGCAGUCGAGAAUCUUCGUCAAUGGGCGAAAGCCUGAACGAGCGACGCCGCGUGUGGGAUGAAGGCCUUUGGGUUGUAAACCACUGUCGAGGGGGAUGAAGGCAUUCAGGUCCUCCUGAAUGUUUGACAGAGCCCUGGAGGAAGCACGGGCUAAGUUCGUGCCAGCAGCCGCGGUAAUACGAACUGUGCGAACGUUAUUCGGAAUCACUGGGCUUACAGGGUGCGUAGGCGGCUUUUCAAGUCAGGUGUGAAAGCCCCCGGCUCAACCGGGGAACUGCGCUUGAAACUGAAGAGCUCGAGUCAGCUAGAGGGACACGGAACUUCCAGUGGAGCGGUGAAAUGUGUUGAUAUUGGAAGGAACACCGGAGGCGAAAGCGGUGUCCUGGGGCUGGUCUGACGCUGAGGCACGAAAGCCAGGGGAGCGAACG